AACGAACGCUGGCGGCAUGCCUAACACAUGCAAGUCGAACGAAACCUUCGGGUCUAGUGGCGCACGGGUGCGUAACGCGUGGGAACCUGCACUUAUGUUCGGAAUAACUCCCCGAAAGGGGUGCUAAUACCGGAUAAUGUCUUCGGACCAAAGAUUUAUCGCCUUUGGAUGGGCCCGCGUUGGAUUAGCUAGUUGGGAGGGUAAAAGCCUACCAAGGCGACGAUCCAUAGCUGGGCUGAGAGGAUGAUCAGCCACACUUGGACUGGGACACGGCCCAGACUCUUACGCGAGGCAGCAGUGGGGAAUAUUGGACCAUGGGCGAAAGCCUGAUCCAGCAAUGCCGCGUGAGUGAUGAAGGCCUUAGGGUUGUAAAGCUCUUUUAACCGGGAUGAUAAUGACAGUACCGGGAGAAUAAGCUCCGGCUAACUCCGUG
rnacentral:rRNA from 1 species